rnacentral:lncRNA from 1 species
AUGCGGGAGAAGCCUAGGCGCUGCGGGUGGAAGAGACAAGGAGGAAAGAGGCGUCCCGCUGACCUUUGCAGACCAGGCCCUUUUUAUCCAGAGGCCCGCAACACAGGGGUGCCCGGCCUUCUCGCCUUUUUGAAGAUCUUCCCGGCCACUGCUGCUCAGCUACAAACAGCACCAGCGCAUCCUGGAGCUCCGGUGAAAGUGCAUCUCUUCUUCUGCCUUCCAAAGAGGGUUACUCGUAAACAACUGGCCCUUCCAUGGACUCUCCACCAGUCUCCUGCAAACACCCAUCACCUCCAAUUGUCUCAUCUUCUCCAGUACCCAUUACCGUGGGUGUGUCCAGGGAGCUCUGUGGGAGUUAUCUUUGUUCUCCACAUUGGCCAUGUUGAGGAAAGAGCCGUUUGUUUCCAGGAGCUUUAUGUAACCUCAGUACAAAUUGGAGCACCAAGAUCUGCAGGCUUUGCCUCAAGAAUAUCAGCAUCAGAGCCCUUCUCCUGACCCCAAGGACUUCAGGGAUGAUCUGGAAGCUUUCAGGGUGUGACUGCUGUCUUAAGGCAGCAUUGGAGAGGAGCAAUGACAAGGAGUAGGGGAGCAACCUAAAGCAAAGUGCAAUGUGGGUUGUAUAUGAAAAUAUAGUGAUGAAAUCCACUAUUCUGUAUGAUAACUAAACAUUUUAAUAAAGGAAGAAAAACAACACAAGUCCAGGGUCAAGUGGAAAGCAAUAAACUAAACUAUAAAUCCCCCUGUGCCCAGUGUGGUGGUGUACCUGCACUGACUCCCCUGGUCACUACUCUGUCACACACAAAAGUAGCCUCUCUAUAAUCAUCAAUCUGUCCUUUGAUGGAGCACACUAGCAGCUGCAGGCUAGGUGUCCUCCUAAUGCCACAGCAUUGAAGCCACUUCAGAGAGAAUAUAAAGGCAGAGGUUUUCACUCUUGGAAGUAAGCCUAAAGAUCAUCUGGUCUACCCACAGCAGUUCACAGAUGACAGGAACUGAGAGAAGACAAAGAACCACUCCCCAAGGAAGAGCCCAGACUGGAGCUCUUCUUCAUAGCCCUGGGUCUAACACAUCUGUGAUGGCAGGGUCCCUUCUCCCUGUGAGAUAAAUUAGGUUCCACAUAGUUUAAUAAAGCAUACUACUGAAUGCCAUCAUUUAUAUUUAUAUUUGAUAUUUUCAUCAUUGUAAUAAGUCCUAUAAAUAAAAGGUAAAUGACAUUGUCA